rnacentral:rRNA from 1 species
AGAGUUUGAUCCUGGCUCAGGAUGAACGCUGGCGGCGUGGAUCAGGCAUGCAAGUCGAGCGAGCCGCCUCCGCAAGGAGGCGAGCGAGCGGCAAACGGGUUAGUAACACGUGGGUUACAUACCGCUAAGACAGGGACAACUAGCCGAAAGGUUAGCUAAUCCCUGAUAGUCCCUCACGGGUAAAGCUUGCCUUCGGGUAGGCGCUUAGCGAUUGGCCCGCGGCCUAUCAGCUAGUUGGUGGGGUAACGGCCCACCAAGGCGAUGACGGGUAGGCGGUGUGAGAGCACGAUCGCCAACACUGGCACUGCGAUACGGGCCAGACUCCUACGGGAGGCUGCAGUCGAGAAUAUUGGUCAAUGGGGGAAACCCUGAACCAGCGACGCCGCGUGCUUGAAGAAGCCCUUCGGGGUGUAAAGAGCUUUUCUAGGGGAGGAAUCUUCGGAUGACAGUACCCUAGGAAUAAGGGGGUGCAAAUUCUGUGCCAGCAGCCGCGGUAAUACAGAACCCCCGAGCGUUAUCCGGAUUUAUUGGGCGUAAAGGGUCCGUAGGCGGUUAAGGAAGUCUAGUGUUAAAUACCUUGAGCUUAACUUAAGGGGUGCCCUAGAUACUCCUUGACUAGAGGACGUUAGAGGCUGAUGGAACGGUCGGUGUAGGAGUGAAAUCCGUUGAUAUCGACCGGAACACCAAAAGCGAAGGCAUUCAGCUGGGGCGGUCCUGACGCUGAGGGACGAAAGCGUGGGGAGCAAAAAGGAUUAGAUACCCUUGUAGUCCACGCUGUAAACGAUGGACACUAGCUAUCUGAAGUGUCGACCCUUCGGGUGGCGAAGCUUACGCGUUAAGUGUCCCGCCUGGGAAGUACGGCGGCAACGCUAAAACUCAAAGGAAUAGACGGGGUCUCACACAAGCGGUGGACCAUGUGGCUUAAUUCGACAACAAGCGAGGAACCUUACCAGGGCUUGACAGGCUAAUGAAACCCUAGUGAAAGCUAGGACUACCCACAAGGACAUUAGCCCAGGUGCUGCACGGCUGUCGUCAGCAUGUAUCUUGAGACGCACGCUUAAAUGCGGUAACAUGCGUAACCCUUAUCCCGCGUUUCAUGUGUCGCGGGAAACUGCCCGGGAUGACCGGGAGGAAGGUGAGGAUGACGCCAAGUCAGCGUGGCCCUUUGAUGCCCUGGGCUGCACACGUGGUACAAUGGGGCCGACAGCGGGUUGCAAAGCUGCAAAGCGGAGCUAAUCCCUUAAACGGCCUCUCAGUUCGGAUUGAGGUCUGCAACUCGACCUCAUAAAGCUGGAAUCGCUAGUAAUCGCACAUCAGCCAUGGUGCGAUGAAUACGUUCCUGAGACUUGUACUCACCGCCCGUCACAUUAGGGGAGCCGGCAGUAGCCGAAAUUCCGAGCAAUCGGACCUAAGCUAAGGUCGGUAACAAGAAUGAAGUCGUAACAAGGCACCGGUAGCGGAAGCUGUCGGUG